CAAAACAAACUAAAAAAAGACAAAUAGCGUAAAUAAAUAAACUAUGAAAAAAAAAGAAAUAAAGACUCAUAUAUGACGCAUUUAAUUUCACAAGAACCAUAUUUGAAAUUAUUCCCAAUCUUAAAACAUUGUAUGGAAAUAAGGAUUAGAAUGCCAAAAUAUACAAAUCUGAUGAACAAUGUAAAAAACAGAGAAUAAAGCAAUUUAGGCGCAAAAGGGGAGCAUAUCUUGAUGCAGCGCAAAGAGGAGGGACCUUCUGCGUAAAAAUACCAUUCCAGGCGCAAAGGAACAGAAUAGGUGAAUCAGGGGAAAAUUGAAAGGGCGCACAAAGAAAAAGGAUCAGACGCGUAAUUUUCCCCAUUUCCCCAAUCAGGCGCAUACCCGGCCUACCAAAACGGGACGCGCAGGUCAUUGCGCAAGGAAACGCCGCCGUAAUGAAGAAAACCCUUUGCCCUUCAUUUACCCUUUUAUUUUCCAGAACCAAAACACUUUCAUUCAUUUUUGAAAUUAGAACACAUUUUUUUGCUAAGGUUUUUCCACAGGCAGCUGAAUCACCAUCAGAUCUGGUGUCUAGCAGCACGCGAAACCACUCCUGACUCCUGCUGUAAAUACUCGACCACCUAUUGAAGAGCUUGGGAUGGAGCAACGGCUGUACGGAAAAAACUUGCUCGUGAAAGUCGUGAUUGCAGCACUAGUGUGUUCCAGAAACCUCUAGUGCUUUCAGCUGCUGAGAUUCCCCUUUUGGGAUUCUUUCAAGUUUGGGCCUCUUUGCAAAUUGGGCUCAUUGGUCUUUGGGCCUUUGUAUAUGUUUGGGCUAUUUGUUAGUGUUUAUUUAAGGUUGUAAAUGGACUAUUGGGACUUUAUUUAAGUUUAUUUGACUAGCUAUUGAAUGUAUAAAUAAAAUAAA